AUGCUUGAUAGCCCGCAUGCUGAGGAGUUGCAACUUAGAAGACUUAAUUAUGGGGUGGUUACUCUGAUUCCUAAAAUGAAAGAUGCUGCAACUAUCAAGCAAUAUCGGCCAAUAUGUUUAUAUUAUGUUUGUUAUAAAAUUGUGACUACAGUACUGACAAAUAGGCUUGAGAGAGUUGUAGAUAAGGUGGUGAGUAAGAGUUAGACGGCAUUUAUGAAAAACGGAAAUAUUUUAGAUGGGGUGGUCACUAUCCAUGAGGUGUUUCAUGAGCUUAGGAGGACUAAACAAGAGGGGGUCAUACUAAAGCUAGACUUUGAAAAAGCAUAUGACAGGGUGAAUUGGGAUUUUCUACAAGAGGUUUUGCUUAAAAAGGGUUUUCUUUAG
rnacentral:rRNA from 1 species